GGACGGUUACCCAAGUGGCCAAAGGGGUCUGACUGUAAAUCAGAUGUCAACGACUUCGGAGGUUCGAAUCCUCCACCGUCCA
rnacentral:tRNA from 1 species